rnacentral:lncRNA from 1 species
UUAUGUUUUUUUUUUUAAAUAAUGUGAUCUUAUUAAAAGAAUAGAGAUUUUUUUUAAAAUAUUUCUUCCGUUUAGGAGUUUUUGGAUAAAUAUGCUUAUGAAAAUUUUUAAUUGUAAAUACAAGAGCCUGAAAUUUUUAUUUUUUAAAUUAGGAUAAAACAGUGAAUGAUCUACCAUUUUUAAAAAGCGAUAAAUAAUUCACCGUCUUUAGAAGGUGGUAAAUUAUUCAUUGCAUUUAUACAGCCCAUAUUUUCUUACAUACAAAUUCUCUUAUUUGUAUAUGGACUUUUUUUAAUUAACCCUUAGAAAAUUUAUAAUUUGCUAAAUAAUCUUAUCAAGAAUUUAUUUGGCCAAAUAACUCUAUUUUAUCCAACUCACUAUUAGAAUGGAAGAUUAAUUGAAAGACGAUAAAAAGUUUACCAUAUUUUCCUUUCUAAAGAAAAUGGUGACGAAUUUACCAUUUCUUCAUAUUUCUCAUAUCUGAUCCUCACAACAAUGUAAGAAUCUAAACCCUUAGAAAGUUUAUAAUUUGCUAAAUAAUCUUAUCAAGAAUUUAUUUGGCUAAAUAACUCUAUUUUAUCCAACUCACUAUUAGAAUGGAAGAAUAAUUGAAAGACGAUGAAAAAUUUACCAUAUUUUCAUUUCUAAAGAAAAUGGUGACGGAUUCACUAUUUCUUCAUAUUUGUCAUAUCUGAUACUCACAACAAUGUAAGAAUCUCAACAAUUCACAUACAAUUCUAAAAAUCCAAAAAAAAAAUUUAACAAGCUACUUAAAAUGCUCAUAAUAAUCAAAUAAAAAUUUCAAUAAUCCACAUAUAAUUUAAAUAUUUUCACAGAAAUUCUCACACCCUAUACAUGACAAUAUAUAUAUAACGAUAACAAUAUGAAAAUAAUGAAUGAUUCACUAAUUUUUUUAAUACACUAUCUUCCUUAUUAUUGUCUUAUAUGACAUUGAGUUAAUAAGAAGAUGAUUAGUUGGCUAAAUAAAAUUUUGGAAGAGUCAUUUGGUCAAUUAGAAAUUUGUAUUGAAUUGUUUUUAUAAAAGUCCAUUCUAUGCUAUUUUAAAACAAACGGUAGAUAAUUUACUACUUUUAUAAGCACAAAAAAUAAUUUUAAUAUUUUGAGUUAAGUGGUGAAUGAUUUGUUGUAUUUAGAAAGUGACGACUCAUUCAACAUUCGGCCUAAUUUUUUAAAUAAAAUUUUCAAAUGAUUUUUUUUAAUUGUAAUGUUUCACAAGUCUAUCGAUAAAAAUAAUUCUGAUUUGUCUAUAGUAGCCUAAAUGUAAAUAAAAGUUCAAACUGUAAUAUUUACAAGAGCAAUCCUUACUACAGUACUUUAUAUCAUGGCUUACUUGAUUUUAAAAUAAGCCUUUUAUUUUAAAAUGAUAUGUAGCUAAUUUUUUAUAUGCAAUUGCAUGUGCAUUUGGCCAGUAAAUGAGAAAAACUAAAUCUAUAACUAUCCCGAGCUGUAAUCUUUACAACUCUCAUCCAAUGGUCCAAAAUUUACCCAAUCAACUUGAUUUUUUAGUAAUAAAUUGUGACCUGAGGAAUUUGAUUCUUUGAAAGAAAGGUAGCAUUCUACGUAUUUUAUUUAUUUUUUAAAAAUAAACUCAACUAGAAAUGUGAAACAAUUAGACUUCAAAUCUAGGGAGUCAAAUAGUAGUCACUGAGCCUUUUGCUACUUGCAUUAGGAAGAGUUGAUAUAAGGCUUGAAAAAUUAACAUGACUUUUGGAUGGCCAACGGUAUAGAAUCAUGACUCAUAAGUGUACUGUAAUUUGCAUUAAAUAAACUAUUCUAAAUUAGGAGCAGGACUACUAUGCUAUUAUGAGCACGGUAGAUUUUGUGCUCCUAAUUUUCUAAUCAUCCAUCAAUUUCUCUCCUUUUUGAAUUCUCUUUAAGUUCUCCUCUGUCUCACCUUAAUCAUUCAUCAAAUUUAAUGGAUGGUUAGAAAUUUAGCAUUAUAAGAACUGCUGAGCUCUUAUAGUACGGUAGUCAUGGCGAAUUUACUAGGGUUUUGCCUCCGACGACUAGUUCUCCAUCUUCUUGCUCAAUGCCCUCCUCAUUCAGGUGGAUUGCUGCUCUCUUUUUGCUUCUUUCUUGCUUGUUCGUAGAGGAAGGGCUCGGUGGACGCGAAUCGCCCCUGAACUGGACGGAAGGCUCAGCUUAGACCACCGGCGCAAUGCCUCUCAGCUCCUGCUUGAAUCAUUUGCAACGGAAGCUUCGUAGUUCGAUUUAAGGUUCAUGUGGAUUGAGAUCAUUAAUACAAUUUGGUCUUUGUGGGAAUAUGAGGAAAGGGUAGGGAUUGUUAUGUAGAUGCAUUUGCUACCUUAUAGCAGAGAAAGUGAGAACCAAUUAUGAGAUUCUAGAGCACUUUGAUUUUUAUAGAUAUAUCUAUUAUUUUAGUGGGGAUAUAGGACGGAUUCAAGAAAACCAGUAUUUAGAGGCACUUGUUUGUGUCGUUAAGGGCCUCUUUAGAUCUUUGAUUCGUUCUGCACACUUCAGGUAGAGUAGAUCACUCGAAAAGGGUUAGAGACUAGCAUAGCAUCUUCAAGUUUACUUUCAGUUUAAUGUACUUUCCUGCAGUAUGUACAUACAUAUUGUCUGAGGGAGAAAACUUUCCUACAAUACUGAACGGACAUUCCCUUGUCGUUUACACCUAUUAAGCUCGCCGGAAUUUAAUUCUACAUCAUGUUGCUCUAAGAGCAGGUUGACCUUACGUUUUUGGCUAAACUUGUGUCUAUUUAUUUGUAGUGUGAAUGUGUACUAUAUCAUGGACAUUUUCCUACUUUUCGACACUGUAAAAUGUUCGCCGAUCUGAUUUGCUUUAGAGAGAAAUUGGAGAGUUGCUAAUAGGUGUUCGAGCUAGAAGUUGGCCCUUGGCUAAGGCACUUAUUUGAAACAAACACUCAGAUACAAAGUUAUGGCUAUUUUACUAAUCUCAACUCUGGAAUCCUAGAUUGCAUCAAACAGGCCUCAAUCGACCUCAUUUCGACGAGGCUUGGUUCAAUCCGCCUUGUCCAUAUGUCCUAUUGCCAAGUUGUUACCUUAGUUUUAUUUCAUUCUGCUAAAAGGGACACAAAUCGAAGAGAACCGCCUUCACCGACAUGACCUUUAAAAUCAUAGAUUUUCAACAUAAAUUUAGAAAAAUAAUAGGAACACACAAAAUAAUUACGUAUAAAUUUUUUAUAAACAUAGAGAUUUAUGUUUACAACAUAAGGACUGGAGGAGGAGUGAAAGAUGUAGUCCUAAAAGAACAAAAUUUUCAAUGACAAUCGGUAGAUAGAAAGAUGUGAAGAAGAUGAAUUGGAAAGUGUAUCUUGGAUAAAUGGGAGUUAGAAAAAGAUCACCAAUAGCUUUUUUUUUUUUUUCCGAUUAAACAGAUAUUUGAAAGGGAGAUUACCAAUGGUUGGGUUUUAUUAACCUUGUGAAUAGAGAAAAACAUAUAAGCAAGUGAUAAAUUAUAUUUUAACAAUUUCAACCAGUAACCGAUCGUCCCUAGCGCAAGUGACAAACAGCUUGAUGGUUGAUACUCCGGUCACAGGGUUCGAAGCCUAAUUGCUUCGCAUUUCUAGCUGAGUUUAUUUAUAAAUAGAAUAAACGAAGUUGGUAGCGUGCUACCUUUCUCUUCAAAAAAAAAAAACAACUUCAACCAGUGGUGCAUUUUGUAUCGUGCAAAUUAUAAAUAAACAUUCCUGAUUAUACUAGUGUAGUGACCCACGCGUUAAAGCGGGUAGAUACCGUUAAAGUAAAAAUUUGUAAAAAAUAAAUUAUUAGUUUAGUACAAAAAAUAGUAAAUAUAGUUUACGUUAUAGACAAAUAAUUUAAAAAAUAAAACUAUAAUAAAAAAAAAUUUAAUCGUUUCAACAAAAUUAUUCAACCUUAUUAAAAAAAGUUGCAUAUCAUGCAAAUGAAUGAUUAAAAUUAUUUCUAUAACAUAAUAGUCAAAUGAGAAAAAAAAGAAAAAAAAGUAAUCAAAGGAGAAAAAAAAAAGUAGGCCCCACUAUUUUCCAAAUUAAGGGGUAGGUAAUGUAGAUGUAUAGGUAUAGAUAUAGUUGUGUGCUUUUGUGUGUGUGUAUUUCUAUCUUUUCUGUAAUUCAAUUAUUGUUGUAUAUUAUCUUUUGUAUUGGAUGAUUAUCUGAAAGUUUUUUUUUUCUUUUUUUUGGUUGAGAAGGUUAAAGUUUUUGAACACCGGACGGGCACGAGAAGAAGAUGUCCGAGACAGAAUGUUAAGUUAGUGCCAUCCUCUAUAUUCAUUUUUCAAUAGAUAGUGUUUCACUCAGAAUUAAGGUGGGUAUACCAUCAUGUAUACUUAUUAUGCCACCAAAUAUCAUCUAGUUACGAGCUAUUCUCACUUGAGUGAGAAAGAUACACUUAUAUCUCGGAAAUAGUAAUUCCAUUAGAUUUGUGGAAUUGCAAUAUCCCUAUAACUUUAUCUGACUUAUUCCUUUCUAUCAGACCAUGCCAAGCAUACUGGAGAUGGUACCUAACAAAGGUUUUGGGAUUUUUUUUCUUUUUCUUUUUUUUAAUUGUCUGAAUAUCCUCAAGCCUAAUAUUAACCUAAAAUUAUAAACAUUAACCUAAAAUUACAUAAUUCCUAAUGUCACGAGAGGAAGCACUCAUUUUCUUUACUUUUGUUUAGGCCAAAAGGAAUUCAGCAUUGAACUUUGAUUUUGUCGUAAGUUUCGAUGUAAUUUGCUAGUUUAAUUUUGUUUCAAGUAAUUUUGUACUUAAUUUUCUGAUGUAUUACGCUAUUACUUCAGGGUUCUAAAAUUGUCAGUGUGACGUGUACUGGGUGUUUAUCAGUUUAUGACUUUGAUACACUCUACUGCUCCAUAUAUGGUCCAACAUCUGGCAAGUUCACUUAUUGCAUACAUGAUGGAUGCCCUUUUUUCCUGUAAUCUCUUUACUGUGAUGUACGCCAUAUGAUCAAUGCGUAAGUCUCUCUCCCAAAUAGUAGGUUGCUCACUUCACCUGAGUUAUUUGUGAGUUAUUUAUGAAAUUUUAGCCAACAUAGCGUUCAGUUGGUUUUAAAGAGGUUUGAAAAUAGGUUUUACAUCAAAAAGAGUUUCCUAAGCAUCUAAUUUCAUAUAAUACAAUAUAUAUGUUUUGUAUUUUUACUAUAGAAAAUACAAAUAGAAAACCAAAAACACCUCACUUUUCCUUACUUUCUCUUAUCGCUCUCUUCAUUCAUUUCCUUCUAAAACAUGCAUAUACCUAGUAAACUUUUUUCAUUGUGGCCUAAUCAAACGAUAAUCGACACAUAUUUCUUUUCCAUAAAAGACAUCCUUUUCUUGGUAUUUAUAUACAAUAACCGUUUUAUUUAAAUCUAAACAUCAAUGAAUGUUUUGUUUUAAUUAAACUAAUUUACCUCUUGAUGAGUUACUUUGUGUUGUUUCUCAAUUUUCUUUUUGGCACGGAUUCUAGCUGAUGAAGUAAAGCCCCGAUUACAUAUCAGCGAUUGUAGAAAUAACUUUGCUGCAGUCCGUUGGAGCCCACUUAAUCGAGAUGAGGUAGAAAUACCACAAUAUAUUCGCCAUUUUUUAAUUUGUUAACGAGCUAAUUAUCACAGAGUAAAAGGUUUGUUAUGAGAAAUUCCAACUUAUCUUCUUAGAAGACAUUAUAUAUUGGUUAUUUAAGGAUAAAAAUUUUGUUUUACAUUGGGUGCUUUAAUUGCUCUUUCUUAGCCUAAUGUCAUAACACGAUGUUGUCUCAAUGACGAAUUGGCUCAACCUCAUACAGUAGAAUAUGUGAAUGCAAGGCAUGCAAGGUAAAGUCAUAUGGAGAACACCCCAACAUCAAUUUUUUUUUAUUGAUACUAUGUUAAAAUUUUAUUUUGUAUUUUUUGUUUUUUGCGAUUUGAGUUAUUUACUCAAUGUAAGUGAAUAUGGCAUUAAUUUCUUUUGAUGAAAUUGCAGCAAUUAAUAAAUUUGAUAAAUAUUUCAAUUUAACAUAGUAACUCAAAUAAAAAUAACAUGAUAUUCUAUUUCUUAGUUUGAGUAUAAAUAUAGUUUAACAUCAAUGCUAACUUUGAUUCUUACAAGAUGUGUUAAUACAGUAUUUUUAAUUUUUGCAAGUUGCUUGCACAUCGUGGGGACGUCACAAAGUUUUUCUUUAUGAUGUCAACAUUGGCCUGCUUAUACCUACCACAGUAACUCAAAUAAAAAUAACAUGAUAUUCUAUCUCUUAGUUUGAGUAUAAAUAUAGUUUGACAUUAAUGCUAACUUUGAUUCUUACAAGAUAUGUUAAUACAGUAUUUUCAAUUUUUGCAAGUUGCUUGCACAUCGUGGGGACGUCACAAAGUUUUUCUUUAUGAUGUCAACAUUGGCCUCCUUAUACCUACCACAGUAAGCCCCGUAGAGAAAUGUGAUUUUUUUAAUUUUUUUAAUUUUUUUGAGUAACACCAUCAAUUUCAAAUACGGUACAGGGGGCCUGAGGUGCUCUUGCGGCACCCGAGCCUCCUCUCCUACCUGUUGUCCCUCCGCUCUGCCCCGCCGCCUCCUUCCUCUCCCUUAUUCUUGCCUCACUCCACCACCUCGCUCCUCGCCUCGCUCCACCACGCCAGCCUCGAUCUUUUUAAAUAAAAGUUGCACUGUUUCUAGGAGAAAUAGUGUAAAUACUAGUGUAGGAACCCACGCAAUGCAACGGAUAUAAUCAUAUUUGAUUAAAUUUAAUAUAUAAAAAAUAGUUUAAAAUUUUUAGAAUAGAAUUAUAAUUCAAUGAAAAACAAUGAAAGAUAAAAAAACAACAUGAGAAAAAAUUUUGUUACAUACAAAUCGGAUCCCUUUGUACCCUCAUUUAGGGCAUUUUUUACUAACAUCGACGAUUUUGUGAAAUACCAUAGUGCCCUUCAACUCCUUUUCGGCAAGUCCAUAUCUUAGCCGAUUCUUUUCGUCCUCCGAGGCCAUUAGAGGAGAGGGAUACACACCCUUUGCAAAAUUAUACAGUACAAAUUUAAGCGGUCGAGAUCGAGGGAGGAGGGAUAGGGGCUAGGGUUAGAGUUCAACUCACCUGACGUUGAUGGCAAGGGUGAGGAUGUUUUUGGGGCAUAUAAAUUAUUGCCGGUGAUAAUUUUGUUAUCCUAAAUUCGAUGCCAUGUAUCUAAACUAGGAAACUUUGCGACUCAUAACAUUCAGGUCUUGUAAGAGUAAUUGUGAACUCUAUAGCUUAUUUAAUCAGAAGUUUUUGCGGGAUGUAAAUGGCUAUUAUGUCGUCAGGAUGCUGUAUUAUCUAUAUCUUUUUCGGAGGACAAUCCUUUCUUGCUAGUUGUUGGAGGUAAAACGGGAAAACUGUGGGUAAGCGCAAAAUUAUUAUUUUCGCACUUCCUAUUUUCGUUCAACAUUUCUGAUUUGGUCCUUUUUGUUCUUCACCAGGUCUGGAACACCUCAUCCGAUCCACGAGUAAUUCGUAACUUCGGCAAGCACAAUAACGAAAAAAAGAGCAGAUCUUCUUUCUGUUCCCUGAGCAAUUUGCAUGUUUAUAAUUUUUUCUAAAGUUUUUAAUUAUUCUAUAUAUUUUAGAAAAUUUUGAAAUAGGAUAUAGAUAUCGUCGAAUAAUCGAUUAAUAUUUAUCAGUGCAGUUUUUAAGAUAGCUUCAAUUUUGAAUUUUACUAAAAUUUAAGAUAUAUAUUUUCAAUCCACUUUGUGUAUUGGUUCUUUGCCUUGUGGUUUUUUAUUCUUGUUUCCGUAUAUAAAAUUUGCUAUUUUAUUUGCUUGUAUUUCUUAAUUGGGUAAGUAACGCUGUGAAUUUUUUUUUCGGCAAACUAAAAAUGGUGAAUCAUUCAACGUCUUUUCUUUAAUAAUAGAUAUGAAAAUUUUUUCUUAAAGAUGGUGAAUUGUUUACUGUCUUCCAAAUUUCUUAUAAAAAUGGUGAAUUAUUCAACGUCUUUACUUUAAUAAUGGAUGAUUUACUGUUUCUUUCUAUUUUUCAUAUAAUUCCCAUGAUCACAUAAAAAUUUCAACAAUAUAUUUACAAUUUCAACAACCUACAAAUUUUAGUACUCUAUCCAUACAACAAUUCUAACAAUAAAAAAAAAUUAUAAUAAUCCAUAUAUAAUUCUGACAAUUUAUUUUUUUUGUUUUACAUAUAUAAUAAUAAUAAUAAUAAUAAUAUAAAAAUUAUGAAAAAUCACAUAUAAAUUAUGAAGGUGGUGAAUUGUUUGCCGCCUACCUAAUGACGGUGAAUAGUUUGAAAAUAUUGUAUAUUUUAUAUUUGGAAAUUGUAAUGUUAAGUUUGUUAUUGACUUAUCAAGUCUACGUAUAUUUUUAUUAGUAAAAUAUUAAUGGUUUCCAUAAUAAAAAUACCUUAUAUCCCUAAUUUAAUAUUCCCACCACCUAUAAAUUUACAAUAAUUUUACUACAACAGAAAAUUUUGAGGAGCUUAAAAGCCAAAAAAGCUUGAAGCUUAUCGUAAUCAAAUUUAACGGAACUAAUGUAACCUACAACCCUAAACCCUAACGUAAUCUUAUAUAUCUCGUUAAACACAUUCAAGUUCGAUAAAUUAUUCACCGCUUUCUAAAUUUUCUACAAAAGCUUUGCUUUUAAGCUGAUACUCUGAACCCUAAACAUUGCUUUUCGGAUUCAAAUUCUCCAUUAAAAUUAAAAUUUUUAAUUCGAAACUAAUAAUUUAAAAUUAAAGUUUUGAAUUUGUAUUGAAAGAUAUAAAUUUAAAACUGAAUUAAAAAUUUGAAUUGAAAUUAUUUCUCUCUCCCCCUCCCAGUUAGGGAUGUUUGGAUCGGGUUUUUAAAAAUCUGAAUCCGAAUCCGAAAACUAAAUUAAAACUCGAAUCCGGACCUGAACCGGCGGGUUUUAAAAAUUUAUACCCAUAUUCGGACCUGACCAAAAACCCAAAACCUGAACCUGGACCCGAACCCGGCCGAUUUUAAAAAUCCAUACCGUUGGAUAAAAAUCUAAAAAAUAAAAAAUAUUAAAUAUUUUAUAUAUUAUAUAAAUAAAUAAAAAUAAAUUUUAUAUAUAUAUAUAUAUAUAUAUAUAUAUAUAUAUAUAUAUAUAUAUAUAUAUAUGUAAUUUAUUCAGAUUUGAGUUUGGAUCCAUAAUUCCAUAUCUGUCUGAAUUUUAAUUUUCUAUACCUAUAGCCGAAUUCAUACCGGUUUAGCUCGGUAAACCAGUCCUGUUUGGAUUUGGGUUUGGAUUGCAGGCAUCCGUACCCAUCGAUAUCUCUACUCCCAUCCCCUCUCCUCCCCACCCCGGCCGUCGCUCUUCCCCGUUCGCGGCCGCCCACUCUCCAGUUUUUCCAUAUAAAUAUAAUAAUAACAACAAGAACAACUAUUCCUCCUCCUCCUCUUUCCCUCUCUCUCCAUCGCCGAGAGAGAUGGGUUUUGGACAAGAAGAAGAGUAAGUUUUUGUUUUUACUUAAUUUUCUUAAUAUAAUGAUAGUUUAAGUCGAAAUCGAAAUAAGACACUAGUCGCGUAAUCGGACUGAUAACAUUCUGUUUUUUUUUUGGAUUUUUUUUCCUUUUUAUUUUUUUUAACUGUGCAGUUCUCAGAGAUGUCUGGCAGCGCCGGUGAAGUCUGCCGUCGACAAAUUUCAGCUCCUGCCGGCCUUCCUGAAGGCGUGUAUUUGUUCCCAGUCUGCACGAGUUUUGUUCAUAUUUACGACGGCAGUCGAAUUUAUAGAUUGAGUUUUUUUUUUUUUUUUUUUUGGUUUUUGCAGGUGAGGGGGCUUGUGAAGCAGCACAUAGAUUCAUUCAACUACUUCAUCAAUCAUGAGAUGAAGAAGAUCAUGAAGGCCAAUGACCUCCUCGUCGCGCACCACGACCCCAAUAUUUAUCUCCGGUGAGUGCGAUUCGGUGUUUAUUCUCAUCCGAAUCGUAGUAUUUGGUCGAUGAAGAGUAUGAUUAAGGCUCCGUUUGGAUGCCGGAAUAAUAAGAUGUGUAAUGAUAACUUAUUAUGUAUGAAGAUUUUCUUGUAUGAUCGGAAACUGAGAGUUAAAAAUGUUGGAAUUAAUGAUUUGAAAGCGGAAUAUGGUGUCUAUUCCAAACAUUUCAUCCCGCUCCUCAUCUUCCAAAUACUAGAUACUUCUUGAGUAAAUCAAAGAGAUAUACUGAAUAAGAUGCUCGUGCAUCCAAAUAGGGUCUUAAUGUCUAGAAAGGCAUAAUAUAUUCGAAGUCCAAGUCAUUUUAUCAGAAUAAGAUAAAUUACCUCGUAGGUGAAAUAUACUAUCCUAACAAAUUAUGGCUAUUCUCAUGGUGUCACUAGUUAUCACUGAAUAACUUGUUCCGGCACCCAACAGGUCGUUUACGUAUAUUCGGAGUUUGAUGUUAAUGUUUGAUAUGUACAAACUUGAUUUAUUUGAUUUAGGUACACUAAUAUAUAUGUUGAGAGUCCGUCGGUGGAGGUGGACCGGGUCUCUGAGGAGCUCAAGCCCCACUUUUGCCGCCUCUCCGAUCGCACGUAAGUGGGCUUUAAGAUUUCUCUCUAUCUUCUGGUUUGCAUUUCCCCCCGCCUUAAUUUUAUGUCUAUGCUAACCAUUUAGUUAGUUUUCACUACAACUUUAUUUUCUUAUUUUCUUAUUUUUUUUGUUUAUAUUGUUAUCAUCAUUAUUAUUAUUAUUUUUAUUUGAGAAGUUUAAGCAAUUGGAAAUGGAGAAAAAAGGUGUCAGUGGGCUGUUUCUAGUAAGCUGUAAUUGUUAGGAGAUGAGGGGGUUGUGGCGGCGGUGGUUAAUACAAUAUCCUAAUAGCACUACAACCUAUAGGAGGGCCAAGUGGAUGCUUACUGAUAUUGAGAAGCAGUUGGAAAUGGAGAAAAAAGGAUGUGGGGAGGGUUGCGGGUGUGGAGAGCCCUUGUAACCUACCAGGAGUUUAGAGAGCUUACAUGAUUUAGGUCUUUCUUGUGCUUGUUUGGCCUUACUUCUACUUCUGUUUUCAAGCAUAGUCACGUCUAAUAGAGCGUUUGGCAAAUUGAGAAGUCUGGUGCUAUUAUUGUAGGUGGGAAGCUGAAAUGAGAUUCUGAGCCUCAGAAGCAGAAACUUUCUCCAUUGGAUUGCAGCUUGUACUUCUCACUAGAGAGAGAAAUUGUUGGGGGAACUUUAGUGGAGUCACCUAAAAUCACUACUCAAAUUGGAGCUAGUUGAACAACAUUAUAACCUACAGUAGGGCAAAUAGAGCCCUUAAUAAUAUUGAAUAGGUUUUUUAAAAUAUCCCAAAAAUACCUCCCCUUUGAAGUUAAGAAGUUUAUUUUUAUUUUUUAAUUAUGUCAAGAGGCAUAAUUUUGGUCCUUAGCUUAAAUUGUUUUGGUUCUGGAUUUUUUGAUGAAGGCUCAAACUGAUUUGGGAUUUGGGCGUGGUAACGCACAUACACGUAACAGCCUUAUGCUAAUUUACGGAGGCUGUUUUAGUUCCCUUCUAUGAUGGUUCAAAAGAAUUCCUUUUGUGCUAUUUUUACAGUUAUGCUGCUCCUGUGAAGGUCGACAUAGAAUACUCAAAAGCAAACCUACCAAAUAAAGUCGAGUAUAAGGUAUCAAUGUUUUCACAAGUCGAUCUUGUACUUGUCUUCAGCUACUUUGAAAGAUGCUUAUCUAUUCUAUUUGUUUCAGAGAGGUGUACUUAUUGGACGAAUGCCAAUUAUGCUCCGCAGUUCCCACUGCGUGCUAAAUGGGAAGGAUGAAGAACAACUUGCUCGCCUUGGUAAGACGUGAACUCCUCAUACAUGCCAUCAAGCAAGUUUUUUUUUUUUUUUCCAUGCUAGUGAAAAUUUUCUUCUGCUGUGUAAUUUAGUUGCGCUUAUACGCUGUUUUGAUUCUAGGUGAGUGCCCUCUUGAUCCCGGUGGUUAUUUUAUUAUCAAAGGAACUGAGAAGGUAAAUUUUUAUCUGUGUUUAUGGUAAAAUUUAAAGAAUUAUGUUUUUAUUAUUUUUUUUGUACCUAUCCUGUUGUCUUGAUUUGACUCUUUGUUUUUUAUCUUUGCUCAUGUAUGCGAAGGACGUGCUGCUAAUAUAUUUUUAUGUGUUUUUAGGUGAUUUUGAUACAAGAGCAACUUUCAAAAAAUCGUAUUAUCAUUGAUACUGAUAGUAAGGGGAGGUAUGUUGCCUUCGCUGAUAUCCUCUUUGUUAUUGUUCUUAUACUGUGGAAAAACAUUAUUUGGAGGUUCUUGUUCCUAAACUUGGAGAAAUCUUCAUCACAGUAUUUUAAUGACAAGUGGAGUGAAGUUUGUUUAUGAAGUAAAUAAAUUAAAAGAUAUGUUUAAGUUUAAAUUUUUAAUAUCAGAUGUAUGUUUUUAAAGUUUGUCUAUACCACAUUCAGUUGGUUUCUCUUUGGAUUCUAUUACCAAUUUCUUUCCCCACUCAUUCAAUAUAUUUACAACCACACUGAGAUUUUCAGAAAUCUCGUGAGGCUUACAGCCUUACACCUUAUUCUGUGAGCAUGUUGCUUAGAUACUUCAUAGCUUACUUUUUAGUGGAAUUGAAACCUGUCAAUUCUAUAACUAUCUCUCCACAUCUUUGCAAUGGUUCAAUAGUUAAAUGUAUCCAUUUGUCAUUUUUGUUUGUGUAUCAAAACCAGAUCCAUGUGCUUUAGUUGUGUGAUAGAAAAAGUUUGUUUGGUCUCAAAAGUUCACUAUUUGUUAUUGUAUUCUCAUCCUUGUCAGGGUGACUGCAUCAGUUACUAGCAGCACACAUGAAACGAAAAGCAAAACGGUUUUGUUUAUGGACAAAGAGAAGAUAUAUCUGCAACUUAAUCAGUUUGUUAAGCCGGUAUGCAGUAAAUAACUCUGUUUGUUAGGAGUUGAUCUUUGAAAAGUUUCUGUUCUUACUCUUUCUCCUUUAUAGAUUCCUAUCUUGGUGAUCAUGAAGGCUAUGGGAAUGGAAAGCGAUCAAGAGGUUGUACAAAUGAUUGGGAGAGAUCCAAGAUAUGGAUCUCUUCUCCUUCCGUCACUUCAGGUAGCCCGCUAUUCACUUAAGAUCUCUGUUUAGUUAACUUAAAUGCAAAUGCUUCUUUGCAAUUAGUUAUUGUGAUCUAUUGACGUUUACGAAAGAAGGUGCAUCUCACAGAAAUUAGUCCAUACUUCCCUAUAAGCUUUUUAUUGUAAUUAAUUUUUCUUUUGAGCUCAAUGUAGUUUUGCUCGUACGUGGCUGAAGAGGUACGCCUUGUUAAAAUUAUUCUGUACUGUUUUAGUACUUUAUCUAUGAUAGUGAAAUAGAAGAUCUAAAUACUUUUUGCAGCCUUGGUUGUAAAUGUUAUUAUUUUGAAGAGCCAUGUUUAGCAAUACGUACCAGUGGUAAGUAGCAUGGGUGGUAAGAGCAACAGUUAUAUUCUAGUAUUCUCCAGAAUGUGCAAUCUAGAUUCCCAUGCAAUUGUGUUGCUUGAUAUUAUAAUCUUUAGGUUCAAAGCCAUUGUAGAAAAUCUUUAUUUAGAAUAGCUUUUUCUAAACCAGGUUCGAAAGUCCCUAGAUAAUUUUCCAUGUUAUUGAGCACUGUGAUACACUUCAGUUUUCAUUAGUUCCCGCCCAUAGAAUGAUGAAAAAUUUCAGUGAUGGCGAUCCACCUUGAUAAAUCUAACACGAGAAAUCUCGCCUAGUUUCUUAAUUUGAGAUACCAAUUAAGCUUUGGACCUUAGAUUUAGACCUGGCCUUGAGUAUAUGUCUGGUGCGAACAUUGAACAUGCCAUAGUUGGGUUAUAUAAAGUAGCAGGGAAGUUGUAUACAAAAAGGAAAAUAUUUUUGUGGUGUUGGUGAUCAAUUGUUGGAUAGUCAUCUUGGGGAUAUUUGUUGAUGUAGUGAUAAAUAUCUUGUGCUGCUGCCUUAUUAAUGCAGCUAGUUAAUAUAAAAAAUGUUUAAGUGGUAGGAUUGCCUUCAAAUGUUUUCUCUGUGGGAACCACUUUGGUGAGACCACAAUUAGAUCAUGAUACUUUUUGUGAAGCUCUUUUAGAUGAUUGGCUAAUUGUGGGCCUUUUCAAGUUAUCCGGAUUCCGGAGUUUUCUUCCUAUUAUCUGUAUUUCUUCAUCUUAAAUUCUCUUACUGUAAGAUAGAGCUAAUGCUAAUUUACGAUGAUGCUGUAAUUCUGUUUGCUGAGCAAAUUAUGCUUGUCUACAGGAAUGUGCAUCUGAGAGAAUAUACACUCAACAACAGGCCCUAGAAUACCUUGAUGGAAAGGUAAAUUUGCAACUGAAGAAUCGGUGCCCAUUUAUGUACUUCAAUUUUAAGAUUUUCUUUUAAUCCCAAUUUGCCAACUUAAUUUCAUGGCCCAAGAUCUAGGUUGUGUAUACCACAUUGCAUGAAAUUUAGGUAAUGCUUACAACUGCACCAUUUUCCUAAUAUUUUUCUAUUUAUUUUUUCCCCUUCUUUGCAGGUGGUUUAUUCUAGUUCAGCAAGAACCGAGACUAGAAAGGUGCUUCUGUAUUUUUAAUCUUGUGAGGACGUCACAUUGUCUAGAUAAAAUUACAUACUCAUGACCUUUUUGAUAUUCUGAUUGUGCACUAAAAAAUAUUGAAUACUUGUUAAUAGAUGCUUGUAUUGGUGACUAAUGCUCCCUUUUCUAUCUAAUAAUAUGUUACUUUUUUCAUGUAUUUUUUACAGGAAAGCCGGGCAAAGUCAAUUCUCCUUGAUGUCUUUCUUGCUAAUGUCCUGGUAAUAUUUACUUUCUCAAAAUAGGGUUUGGUAGCUCUUUUUGUGGCCUUGUUCCAAGUUUCAUCUCCUUCGCAGGUCAAGGAAGGCAAAUUUCGACCCAAAUGCAUAUAUACUGCUGUCAUGUUACGACGCAUGAUGGAUGCGAUCCUGAACACUGAUACCUUCGAUGACAAGGCAUGCGGUACUUCUAACUCAUAUUGUUAUAUGCACGCCAAGUAAUUCAUAUUUUAUAUCCAAAUACUUAUGUUCAUUACCUGCUACUAAUUCUUCAACAGUUUCACUAGAAUGGGAUAAGCGUGUAUGUUUGACUAUAUGCCUUUAUAAUAUUUGCAAUAAAUUGUCUUACAAGUUGAAAUACUUUGCUGCGCAAUCUUUUGCUGCUUUUCUGUUUGACAAGUCUUUCGGUAUCUUAUGUGUUUUCUAUUUAUAAUAUGAAGCUGCCAAACUUUUUAUUUAUUAAUAUACAUAUCCAUGCAUAAGCAUGUACAUUUAAGUACCAUGGUCUGAAACUACUGAAAUUAUUCAUCAACGACUUGUUUUUACCAACUAUUUACUCAUUUACAUUAAUAUGAUUUGCCCCUUAGGAUUGUUUUAUGUUGUAAGCUGAUUUAGGGACAUAGCAUGAUGCAAGGAAUGCAACGACCAUUUUGAUAUAUUGUAAAUAAAUGAAAAUUAAACUCUGACAGGAUUAUGUCGGCAACAAGAGACUGGAGCUUUCAGGGCAGCUCGUAUCAUUACUCUUUGAGGUAAUUUGUUAUACGACCUUCACACUUUGCAGUUUAGUAAAAUUUGAUCCCAACUUUCAAUUGUUUAGUUUUUAUUUUGUUUUGUUUUUUUCACUGGUGCAGGAUUUGUUCAAAACAAUGAAUUCCCAAGCUUUGGAACGGCUGAGAAGGUCAUACGAACAGCAGAAUCGCUCGAGUCCUUUGGAAAUUUUCCCUGUAAGACCUUAAACUUCAUUUCCACUAUUCUGAUAUUAAGGAUCACUCUCUAUCUACUUUUUUAAACUCGUUGGAAUUGCAAAUAGUGUAUUAUUCUUCCAACAAUGCUGAUUGGUAAAACUUCAUGUCCACUUUUCUAAGGAUCACUCUCUAUCUGCAAUUUUUUCCUCGUAAUUUUUGAAAGUGCAAUGUCUUACAUAAGUUGGAUGAAGUUCUUGCAUUCUGUUUGCAUUAUCUUUUGCUUAUAUCUGCACGAAUUGAUAGUUUCCUCGGAAAAAUUUGUCAUUCACUUCUCUUCUUCCUCUUUCUGCUAAUAAUUAGUUGCCUAACAACUGUUGCUUUUAUGAAUAGUUUCUCCUAUUGCUAAAUUGACAUGAUUUUUUCGCAAUAGUUGUUUGUGCAAAAUAGUACUAUUUGAGAGUGUUCCAUAGCUUUGGUGUAUUCUUCUCUUUUAUGCUAAUAUCUUCCUCUUGGAUCCACUUUUCGAUAUGAUCAAAUCUUGUGUACAUAAUUUGAAAUUCAGCAUUCAUUUUCCAGGCACAAGACUUAUUUGAAAAUAUAUGAUUUCCAGUCUUUUUUGUAUGGUUCAGAUUAGUCAUCACCUUGUAAGUGUACAAUGAUGUCUAACAGCUGUUUAACUAACCGUUUCUUUUUUAUUUGUUUAUUUAUUUUUCUUUUGAUGCAGUAUUUAACUGCGGACAUCAUAACCCAGGGCUUGGAGAGGGCAAUCUCUACAGGAAACUGGGAUCUAAAGCGAUUCAAGAUGCACCGGAAAGGUGUAUCGCAGGUUAAUAUUUCUUCCUAGUUACGUUCUACAACUACAGGCCUACAUGGACUGCCAAACAAGGUUUUAAGUACCCGUCGGCAUGGGCCGUAUCCACCGUGCCGUACCGUGCCAACAAGAUACCGGCACGAUACAGAUCCCGUGCCGAUGGCACAGCUCAAAAUCCUUUAUUCUUUAAAUUAGUAAGUAAUUUCCUCAAUAAAGUUCAAAAGAUGUGAUAAAAAGACAUAAUAAAUAGUUAGAAUAUUUUGUUACUAAAAAGAAUAAAUAUUACAUGCUAUUAUGUGUCGGCACACAAAAAUUUUUUUGGCCGGUACGUAUCGGCACGGUUCGGCACGCACCGUGCCAUACCGUGCCGGCAAGUUUCCGGCACGACCCCGUGCCACGGCACUUAUGCCAAAUUACUAUGCAAUUUUUUUGCUUCUCUAGGUUCUAUCUAGGUUGUCAUUCAUUGGAGCUUUAGGUCACAUGACACGCAUAUCGCCACAGUUUGAAAAGACUCGGAAAGUAAGUGGACCGAGGGCUUUGCAACCUAGCCAGGUAGAAGAUAGUACUUUUAAUCAUAAAUUAUUUACUGCAUGAAUAUGAUUGGUUACGUAUGUUUUUUUUUUUUUUUAAAUAAAUUAAUGGGCCCAUCUUAUUUAACAGUGGGGCAUGCUUUGCCCGUGUGAUACUCCAGAAGGAGAAGCUUGUGGAUUGACGAAAAACUUAGCAUUAAUGACUCAUGUUACGACUGAUGAGGAGGAGGGUCCGCUGGUUAUUUUGGUUCGUAUUCUCUCCCUGUAUUUUCUUCCAUUUGAAAAACCAAAAUAAUGUUAUCUUGGCUUUUCCAUUUUUGGGGUUUUCAUGAUAUUCUUUGUAGGGUCUAAAUUUCUUAUUUAUACAUGGUUUCUUGUCAUAAUAUGUUUGUUGAUUAUCUGCUGGAAUUUCUCUGGACAUUUUUUUUUUUAAUGUAAUAAUGUCAAAUCAUUGAAAGCCUUCUAAAUUAGGUUGGAAAAGUUUACAUUGAAAAACUGACUAGCAGGGUAAGUCGCUUUGCAGAUAGAUAGUUUUGUAGGUGAACUUGGCUAGGAGUUUAAAUAUUCGAAAGUUUUCGACUAUCUACCUUGUCCCAUUGUGUAAGAACAUCCAAUUCAAAGAUUUUGGACAAUCACCUUAAUGCUAGCUUAUUCCGAAGGUGCGCAAUCCAAUUGUCUCACUGCCCUGUAAAUUUGUUACUAAGUAAUGCAAGUUCUAUAACAGCGAAAUCGUGUCCUUGUACCUUCCUACUUAAAUGCAAGUAAAUUAUCCAUGCUCAUGGGAUGCGAACUUCUCUAGCAAAUUUACUUUAUGGGACAAUUGUACUGACACCUCUUGAACUUUCAUGCUUUUGUAAUUAGACUUGUAAACUUUUUCUUCUUCAAGCGUGCACUCCGUCGACUUCAUAAUGUACUGUAACCAAUUCUUCCGCAAUAGUGUAAUUAAUCCUAGAUUUUUCACUCCCUCUCUCAACAACUUAAGUUUCCUAAUGGUUUCUUGUCAUGCGUCUAUGACACUGGAACUAUUGAAACUGAAGCAUUAGUAUUCUAGAAAUAAAAAAUUAGAAACAAAUCUGACAUUUUGAACCUAACCUUUUCGGCUGCAAUAAUACUAAUUGUCUUGAGAUGCUUUGUAUUUUGUUAUGAAGCAACGGAAGGAGGGAGAUAGAUUUUGACUUCACUUCAUUUUUCUCCCUUAAUGCUUCGCUUCUUUCACUUUUAUAUUUUUUACAGUAGUAUCGGAAUUUUUUAUGCUAAACACUUUGAUCCGAUAUCCAUUCAUACCCUUACUUUCAUUCGUUUCGUGUUGGUUUUAAUGACUUUCACAUCAUUACAGUGUUAUAGUCUAGGUGUACAAGACUUGUCAUCUCUCUCUGCAGAAGAAAUCCAUACACCAGGAUCAUAUUUGGUCAUAUUUAAUGGGCUGAUACUUGGGAAACAUGAGGCACCAAAGGUGUAUAUUUUUCUAUAUUACUAUCUAUGUGUGAUUAGCAUAAACUCUUUUAUCGUUCUGCUAAUGCUGUUGGCCUGUUAUUUGCAGCGAUUUGCUAAUGCAAUGAGAAGCUUGCGAAGAUCGGGUAAGAUUGGGGAGUUCGUUAGCAUUUAUGUCAAUGAUAAGCAGGUAAUAUUUUCUUAUUUUUUUCCUUCAUAAUUUAAACAUCCUGUUGCCGAUUUUUUCUUUAUACUUCGGCAGUAACUAGUCGCGUAUUUUAUGGAUUUCUUGUGUUUUGCGGCUUUCUUCAUAGGCUAUUUAGACCUUCAACUGUGUCUGUCCAAUGUAAAUUGUUUUAUCUUUUUGGCCUAUAUCCAUCAGGUUCUCUUUUACUGCCUCGCAAUUGGCAGUGUAAAUGAAUAAACAAUGAAAACAAAUUUGUUUCAUCUUGUUUUCAUUCCUCUACACUCAACUCUUCGCAAUCUUAUCUUAGUACGACCUCUUCUUUUGUCCUUCGGUGAUUUUCUAUCAAGGGUUUUUUGUCAUGCUUUAUAUGUAACAUUCACUAGACGUAUAUAGUCAUGUACUUUUACUGCUGCUAAUCUCUUCUUUUUAACUUCUACAGCACUGUGUUUAUGUCGCUUCUGAUGGUGGUCGUGUUUGUCGCCCGCUUGUGAUUGCUGACAAGGGCGUAUCAAGGAUCAAGGAGCAUCAUAUGAAAGAAUUGCGGGUCAGUGAAUUUGAAUUUUAUUAACUUCGCCAUUACUUAUUGUGUUACAUUUGAACUAUUUAUUUAGGACGCCUAACCAAAUCUAAUGCUCUAGGAUGGCCUCCGUACUUUCGAUGAUUUUUUGCGCGAUGGGUUGGUUGAAUAUCUUGAUGUUAAUGAAGAGAACAAUGCUUUGGUAAAUGACGAUCAUCUAAUACUUACGAUUUGGGUUUUUAUUUUAAAAAUUUUUUAUUCACAUUAAAGAUCUUUUAAACAAUAUUUGACAAAACUUUGAAUAGAUUGCGCUGUAUGAGCAUGAACUGGAUAAUGAUGAAUCUGGGGCAGAAAAGGAUGAUGUUAAGAGAAGUAGCAUCACACACAUUGAGAUUGAACCGUUCACCAUUUUAGGUGUUGUAGCUGGCCUAAUUCCUUAUCCUCAUCAUAACCAGUCUCCACGUAAUACCUAUCAGGUUUGUCCAGAUUUGUUUUUUAGCUAUAUCAUAAGAUUGGGAUUACCUUUCUGAUUUUAAUAUUCUUUCAUAUCAUAGUGUGCGAUGGGAAAGCAAGCAAUGGGAAAUAUUGCAUAUAACCAGGCAAGUAGAAAUUUCUUAUACUAUUUUGUCUCUUAAAUAUUUUGAGAGUAUUUAUUUCUUCUUUAAGUUUUGGUUUUACCGUCACCAAAAAGUCCUGUUGCUAUAUGACUCGGAUACAUUUAAGGUUAAGGUUUUUUUUUUUUUUUUUUAAUCAUCAUAGGUAGACUUUUAUUAGUGAAAAGUUUAGUUAUUAAUGAACAUGUUUGGAAUAUUUGGCUUGCAAACUUAUACAAGAUCUAAUAAAUCAAACAUCUCAUUGUAAAUUCAUUCUGAACCUGAUACAGAAUUAAUAAAGCAUUUAUUUUGUUUCCUUUUCUUCUUUGUAUCAUCUAAUAUUAUUCUUGAUUGCUAUACAAUAUUUUGUGAUAUACUUGUUUAUCUUACAUGAGGAAGUAAAACUUAAUUGUUUAACCUAAUGCAGCUAUGUCGAGCCGAUACUCUACUUUAUCUGCUAGUGUAUCCACAACGGCCCCUACUGACGACAAAAACCAUUGAGCUGGUUUGUAUCUCUAGCAUUGAGUGGAUAUUUUAUGCUAGCAGGCGCUAUUAGUAGAUAUGCAUCUUUUUUCUUUUUUCUCUUUUUAUUUUUUGCAGGUUGGAUACGACAAGCUUGGAGCUGGCCAGAAUGCUACUGUUGCUGUCAUGAGCUACAGCGGCUACGAUAUUGAGGAUGCCAUUGUCAUGAAUAAGGCAUCCCUAGAUCGCGGAUUUGGCCGUUGUAUAGCAAUGAAAAGGUCAUCCAUCUUUAUUCUGGAUGCUUUAUUUGGGCCCAUUUGGUACCUAGGAUUCUGUUUUGAUUGGAAAAUAUAAGAGAACGAUGUUGGGGGAGGAGGGUUCAGUAACAUCGAGGCCUUGUGAGGCGCACAAGGUUAGGAUUAUUAUAUUCGGUCGGGUCAAAUGAUCUUGUUGGGAUGGAACAAUCGAAUCCCACUCAAGAGGUUAAGAUUGAACAGCUUGGACUUUAUAAGUUCCUUUGUCUCACUGGACCCACCUCGACCCAUUGUGACCCCCUGGCACCUUUGAAUCGCUCAACCCUCCAUCUUCCCCAACAUCACUCUCUCAUCUUAUCUAAUGAUUUCAAUCCAUCUUGAAUGACAAAUAGGACCUAGAGAUUUUUAUUGUAACUCGACCUUGCUGUUGUAUUGUAUUGUUACAUUGGCAUGUUGUUGUUUCUUCAUCUUAGGUUUUUUAUAUGUGCUACAGGUAUACUGUUGUUACGGAGUCGUAUGGCCCUGAUAUUUUGGAUAAAAUUGUCAGGCCGCGCAGGAAUGUUGAUGGUUCCUUACCUCAGAAUAUGCAGGUAAGAAAUGUACUUUAUGACCAAAACAAUUUUUAAUAACGAGUCUACACAUUCUUGUCUCACCAUUGUUGAUUAUUAAGUUCCAAUGUAGACGGUUAUUGUGGUGUGCUUGUAGUUAUGUUGAUUGAAGUAUUAGUCUUAGUGUUACCAAAAUCCUUGAACCUCCCCUCCACUGCCAAAGGAACUGCGAUCCAGAUUAUGUUCCAUUUCAUGGUGGCAUUCCAAUCUGGAACGCAAUAAAUGGUGAACUUAGAAUAGCAGAAGAAACUGAAAUCUAGAUUUAAUUUGUUAGGCUACGUAGAAGAAAUGUGUCCUACAAUUUAAAUAUUGCAGAAGAAUCAUGCCUUACGAAAAAAGAGAGCUGGCUUUGAUUAGGAGAGCAAAUACUUAAUCCGAUCUUAAUGAAAGGAAAAAAACACAGAAUCUAUAUGGUAACAAAAGGUAAGUUAUUGAUUUUCUUUAUAUACGGUGAUUUGCAUUGACAUUGAAAAGAAUCACAUUACGGAUUAACUGUCCGACUAAUUCUACCCCAUGUACUACAUUACUGAGAAUCUACUGUACCGCACGUCCCUAUAGCAUACGGCGUAACACACUGUAUCCUGUUUAAGGUAACACUGAUCUGUCUAAUUUUAGAUGAUCAGUCUGUUAAGAUAAAUAAAAUUCUGAACUGAUUAAAGCAUGAUGAUUUUCUUCUCAUGAGUGUAGGAGUAGCUUUUCUCCUGUGUGUGAACACAUACACAUUAGCUGUAUGGGCACUUUUUGUCGUGUUUCCUUUGUUGAUAAGUUAAUGAGGACAGCCUUUUAGAGAAUCAUUUCUCAUGAAUGCAUGUUAUUGUCGACUGUUUAAUCACUUUGAAUUCUUACAGCUACCACUAAAUUUUUUUUAAAUUUUCCAAUAUGAUUUAGGUUACACUGUGAUGUAUAUUUUGUUAAUCGGCAUUAUUUCCACUCUGGUAUUAAAGAAGCAUGUAAUUAUCUACAGAUAUUGGAUGAGGAUGGACUUGCAGCACCCGGAGAAAUUAUUCGCAAUAAUUAUGUUUAUGUAAAUAAACAAACUCCUGUGGACAGAAAUAUUUCACAGAGAGGUGACAGGUGAGGUUUGUGCUUUUUCUUUCUUGAAAAUUGGAAAAUGUUACUUUAGUGAUUUAACAUAAAUAGCUUCUGAGAUUCUCAGAAAAUACACGGACGCACCUGUGAUUUAUAAAGGACCUGAAGGCGAGACUAUUGUAGUCGAUCGCGUAAUUCUUUGUUCAGAUACAAAUGACAAGUUAACGAUUAAAUUUAUUACCCGACAUACCCGGAGACCUGAGGUGAGUAUAUUUUCAUCUUUUUUUUUUAUUGGGUUUUUGGCUUUUUUCCCAUAUAACCCUGCAAAAUGUUUAUGCAAAUACAUACAAAUAUCCCUGCAAAGUUGGUAUUUCAAUCCAUCUCCAAUAAAGUGAUGCAUGCAACAAUAAAGAUUUUCCAAGGAAUCAAGGAUAUGCUUGCAUGCGGCAUACAUUAAAAAAAAUCCUUUUUUUAUUAUUAUUGCUUGUAGUUAGAUUAAUCUGAUCUUUUUUUUUUCUUUUUUUUUUUUUUCUUGUUCCUUACUCAUCCAGGUCGGUGACAAAUUUAGUAGCAGACAUGGUCAGAAAGGUGUUUGCGGCACUAUAGUUCGGCAGGAGGAUUUCCCUUUCAGUGAGCGGGGGAUAUGCCCUGAUUUAAUCAUGAAUCCUCAUGGAUUUCCAAGGUUUAAUUUAUUUAGUACUCGAGUAUCUUCAAAAUCUAUCCUCAUGGGAUCUCCUACCUCUUUAUUAGUGGCCUUUUUGUGCUGGGAGCUUGGGGAAAAGUUCCAUUUAAGAGCCAUACGAAGGAAGCCUUAUGCCUGUUUCAUUAAAAUCCCUGUAACAGCUUAUCACUUUGGUAGAGGCAGGGACUUCGCAUUAGACUUCUCUUUUGGGCUUAUUUGCUUAUUUCAACCUUUUCCCAUAGCAAAAGCUCUCUUCUUAGUUAGGCCGGAUAGACACUAAGCAUUUAACUUUUGAUCAAACCUAACCUACACAUUGCAAUUCGGUCAUUCUAUCCGUAAUAACUUGGUCUACUAAUUCUUUGAAUCUUUGUCACCCUUUGCCAGAUUUAGUUAAAUAUGCAUAUGAGUGUUUCGGUGAAAUUCUUAUAAGAUAGUAGCUAAUGCCAUGGAUUGGAUUUUGAAACUGUCGACUGUCUUAAGAUCUUAAGGCCUUAUCUUAAUUAGCAUGAUUUUCAGAGGUGGAGAACUCAAAGGGAAGUCAAAUUUGCCAAUUGAUUGAAUUCUUUGCUGACUUCUGAAAAUCAUGCCAGUCGAUCGAUUUCUUUGCUAAUUAGCAUGAUUUGUAGUACAAAAGAGCAUGACUUUCUUUGCUGACUUUUUUUUGUUCUGACUGUUGUAUUCUUGUCUGUAUGAAAUUAUGACUACAAUAAUUUUUUCCACCACAUGAUGGUUAAUUUCUUUGUCGGCUACUAUUGUCAUUAUUAGUCGAAUGACCAUUGGAAAAAUGAUUGAACUGCUUGGAGGGAAGGCUGGCGUAUCUUGUGGAAGAUUUCAUUAUGGCAGUGCAUUUGGUGAACCAAGCGGCCAUGCUGAUAAGGUCGAAGACAUAAGGUAAGAAUCUUCUUGAUAUUACGCAUAAAAUGUUCAAGUCAUGACCCUGUACUAAUUCCUCUGUUGAAAUUUCAGUAAAACACUUGUAAAGCAUGGAUUUAGCUACAGUGGAAAGGAUUUCCUUUACUCAGGUACACAUAAUUAUGUUAGUUCUAUGUGUCGUGCGCAUUAACCCUAGCUUUUGUUUGAUUUUCCAUUGGCCAAAAAGAACUUACGGAAAGCGUGAACUAGAGACAAAAGAAAAUAGAAAUUGCGUAUGAUUUGUUCUAUAGAGAUCUUAUGUUCAUUGAAAAUCCUUGAUAUUUUUUUAGACUAGCUUUUGUAAGAUGAUCUAAUGAAUACCAAAUUGAAAUUACUGAAGUCUUUUAUCAUUUUUUUGUUUUAUGCGCUUUUUGUUGCCUAAUGCUUUGUUUAUUUGAAUUGUUUAUAUUUUGGUUUGGUAUUCCAGGCAUUACAGGGUAUCCUCUUCAAGCUUAUAUAUUUAUGGGGCCGAUCUACUAUCAAAAAUUGAAACACAUGGUAUAAACUUUUCUAUUUCACUUUUACCUUUUAGGUCAUUUUAAUUCCAAAUAGAUUUGUUUUGUUUUGCUACUAACUGAUAAAUGUACUCGCCCUUGGCAGCAACAAAUGAUAUAGUCGGGCAAUUAUUUCGGGACUGUUUAUUCUAGCAAUUACAUCGCCAUCGACCACCAUUGCUAUUUGGACUGUUGAGUGCUUCAAAAUAUUCACGGAAUGUUAUGUCUGUGUCGGACCUAGGAUUUUUGGAUUCUGAAUGAGACCUUAAGUUUUUGUUUAUUAAAAUAAUUUGGCAACAGCACCAAACAAGGCCAUAAAUUUCUUACUCGUACACUCAAUCAUAUAGUCUUUGUUUAUUAAAAUGGAAAAGCAAACAUUGCCGUAAAUUUCUCGACAGGAUUAGUUGUUAGUAGGCUGUAUUUGAUGUUGAUUUAGUUAGUAGUUCUUUUCAGCUUCUUUUAAAGGAGGUUCUAAAUAUUUAAUUUGAUCUUAUUCAUCCCGUACAUUUCUUAUCGUUUUUUAAUUGGUUAGGUGCUUGACAAGAUUCAUGCUCGAGCUAAAGGGCCGAGAGUGACGCUGACCAGGCAACCUACCGAAGGGAGAAUUCGUCACGGAGGUUAGUUUCGUCGACCAUUCCCUUCUUCUAAUAUAUGAUCUUACGCGUACACAUGAUUGCCGGUAGUGUUCUAAUUAUAUUGCGCUCGAUCCUACAGGACUUCGUUUGGGAGAGAUGGAACGGGAUUGUUUGAUAGCAUAUGGCGCGAGCAUGUUACUAUUCGAACGUCUAAUGUUAUCUAGUGACCCUUAUCAAGUUCAGGUUGGGAAAAUCAUUUUCGAGUGUUUUUCCUUUUAAUUCAACACCUGUAUACAUGUUUUUUUUCUUUUUUUAAAUUUUUGUCACCUUAACUGCAAAAUGUUUGGCUCUAGGUUUGCCGCAAAUGUGGAUUGCUAGGUUAUUACAACUACAAGCUGAAGAAAUCCUUUUGUUCUAUGUGCAAAAAUGGGGAAAAUAUCGCUACCAUGAAACUCCCUUAUGCAUGCAAGCUUCUUUUUCAGGUAGUACUGCUUCCGAACCCUUUUAAUAUUCGCAAUCCUGUUUGCUCUUAUGUUUGUAGCAUGAAAUAUUAAACUUUAUUAUUUUAAAAAUGCGUUCAUUACCAAUGUAGUUCUUGGAGCUUAUAAUCUUAUUUCUGUUUUGACAAUUUAGUCCUUGUAGUUUGUUGCUCUGCUAAUCCAUCAUUUAGUUUAUGUGGUUGUUGAACAAUUAUAUUGAGAUAAGCAAUCCCAAAACCUCGAUUUUGGAAGCGGAAACUGUUCGUUUUACUAAAACUUCUUUGAGAAAGUGUAUCACAGAAUCGAAGCUGAUAAUGUCGAUUUUCCUUUUAUUUUUUGAUUGUCUCCAGGAGUUGCAGUCGAUGAACGUCGUUCCACGUUUGACGUUGACGGAAGCAUGAUUUCUAUGACGUUGAUUGGACGAGGCAUACAUUUUUGGCGAUAAAGUUGAGCUGCGACGUACUGAUCGUAGUCACAAGUUCGAUGUUCGAGACCACUUCAGCAAAGUUGAAAAAAGAAGUUUUGAAUACAUAAAUAUAUGUACAGCAAAAAUGUUUCUGCGGACAAAAACUCUGAAACUUGUUAUUCAUGACCCUUAACGGAAACGAAAUUGUAAUUCGUUUGCUGAUGAGUAAUCUGUAAAAAUCUGCUAAAUUUUCAAGGGGUAUAGAGAUUACUAACAAUUUUCUUGCCCUUUUCGUGGCUAAAAUGUCCGAGUGUUUGCAGAUUAUCCAACCUUGCACUUUACCCUUGAAAAUCUUUAUUUUAUCACAAGGACGUAUUAUUAAAUAAAAUAGCAAAGUGAUAUUUCUUUGACAAAAGAUUGGUAUAUAUAUAAUAUUGGGUUAAAUGCAUACAGGUUUUUGCAAACAUAAUAAAUUGCAAAUAUAUUUUUACAAAGUUCAACUUUUUUAUAUUGUUCCUACAGAAGUUCUAAUAUUUUCAAAUAUGUUCGUCUGAUUUAUUACUGUUAGAGAAUUAUUUAUAUUUUAAUCGCAAAUAAGUGAAAUGUUGAUUUUGCCCUCAUAAAUAUGUUCUUCCAAAAGUUAUAGUAGUAUAAUAUAAGAGGGAUAAAAAUAUUAAGUUAUCUUAUAAACUAAUUAGGGUUAAGUAUGUAACUUAUGGUUAACCAAAAUUUUCUAAUAGAUUGUAACGGUAGAGAUAUAUUUGAAAACAUUAGUACUUUUAUAUGAGCAACAUAUGAAGGUUGAACUUUGUACUUAGUAUAUGUUCGUAAUUUAUUAUGUUUGCAAGGACUCGUAUGCAAUUAACCCUAUAACAUUGCACUCUCCUAUAAUUUACACUGUUGCCAUCCUUUUGUCUUAGUGGAUCAUCAUUUAUUACAAGGUUGUUUAAUUUAAAUUGUACAAUUUUUGGCAAGUUGAGGGACCAGAAAUUAAUUUUCAACACUCAUAAAAUUCAGUUUUUAGAUUGUUUAGCAUGAAAAUAAUGCAUUCUGAUCCAAGCACAUAAUAGUAAUAAUGUUAUAAUAUCCAAUAUUUAUUGUGUCUGGAUUAGAAUGUAAUUUGCUAAGUGUUCUAGUUCCAUGAAGGAUAUCAUAUUUCGCAUAUUAAUAAUAAAAUCUGCAAAUUAAAAGAUGAUUAAAAUAGAUUAAUUCUUAUAGUACAUGAUGAACCUUGAUUAUUAUAUUUUGUGUUUGGUCACCUACAUUGAAGGAAGUUUGGGUUGCCACCGCCAAUAGACAUGAGGGAUUUCCUUAGAAACUGAAUAUUAAUAGGUACAUAGAAAGGAUAAACUUAAAUUUGUUUACUAGUGGUUUAACUCCUUUUUAUUUUAUCAUUUUAUGGUUUAAAAAGUUAUCCUUAACUACAACAUGGUUUAGUGUGACGCCCCGACUUCCCAGGGGGUCACCCAUCCUAGGACCACUCCCGUCCUAGCACGCUUAACUCUCUUAACCUCUUGGGCCUUCCCACCAUCCAAAAUGCUUAAGCCGGGUUAAGAGUUUAGCCCUAUUAUAUUUCAUAUAUAGGACUAUCUUGGGUCUCACAUUUAGCUUAUUUUUACUUUACCACGAAAUGAUUCAAAAGUUAUACAUAAUUAACUUGUGGUUAUAAAAAAAUUUCACUUUACUAUCUUAUUUCAUAGUAAAUUUUUUGCAUAAAAAUAGAGAUAAAAUUAUAAAUAAUUAAGUGUAAAUUUUGAACCACAUAGUUGCAAAAUAAAAAUGAGCUAAAUCACAUGAGAGCAAAUUAAAAUUUACCUUAAAAAAAAAAUACUAACUUUACAAUCCAAAGGGAUUGUAAUCCUACAAUCCCUUAUCCAUUCAAGGCGUUGUAGGAUUGACCAAUCCUCUCUUAGGUUUUAGUUAGUUACAUAAAAAAAAGAAAAAAAAGAAAAAAAAGACGAUAAGACAAGGAGGAAAAAGAUUUUUGGAUGAUAAGAGUUGUUAAAAAGUGUCGUAGACUAACAAAGCUUAAAAAAAAAAAACCAAGGAUAAACUUUAGAUUGACCCUGUGAUUUAGCUCAUAUUUAAUUUGGGACUCCAUAUUUUAAAAAGUUGCAAUUCUACAUUGCAGUUUAAUUUUAUUGCACCAAAAAUUUUAUGCAAGUAGGAUGACAAAAUAAAAAAAUUAAAAAAAUUACAGAAUGACAAAAUAAAAAAUAUCCUAAACUAUAGGAGGACAAAAUGCGAUUUUUUUUGAACUACAAAAUGACAAAGUGAAAAUGAACUAAACCACAAGAGGCAGAAUACAAUAUUUUAAAUCGCGGGGCAACAAAAUAAAAAUGAACUAAAUCACAAAGAGGAUUUACAACCGCUGUAUUUUAAGCCGCAUAUAUUUUAACUAUACUUUAUUUCUAAUUAUAUUCGAACCAAAGUGUGAAUGUAAAUUAGAUUUUUUUAGCUACAUGUCAAAUUCAAAAUCAACAUCAAACAGAGAGAAGUAAAGCUAAGCUCGGUCCACAGUGUGGCCAAUUGAUGUGGCGUAGUUUGGUAUUUUUUGAUUAAAUUAAGGAAGCGACUUGAAGUCAUCGUAUUGACGAGGAAAAAAACAAAGGAAGUCAUCGCGUUGCCCAGGGAAAGAAAAUAAAAUAAUAAAAAAAUAAAUCUGGGCUGAAAAAGGAUUUUUUUAAAAAAAGAUAAAUUUGAUUUUCACCUUUAUGAUUUAGUAUAUUUUAUUAUGAGAAAUAUUUUGGAACCCUUGUGGUAGGGUAUUUUUCUAUAUUAUUAACUAUAUUGUAUUUAUAAUUAUAUCCCACCAAAAUUAUCAAAUCAUUUCUAUUAAAUGUUGCCUACAAUUUCUUUAUCUAAAUAGUUAUAAGAAUAGAGCUGUUCAAUUCAAAAUCAGCAUUAACCAGAUACAAGGAAGGGUAGAUAGAUAGUGUGGCCCAUUGACGUGGCAUAGCUUUGAUUAGAGCACAUAUGAUCUACAACAUGCUAUUAUUCUACUUCUAUCUAAAAUAAAAAAAAAUUGUAAUUGAAUACGACUAAAUCAAUACAACACUCUCUGAGUGUAAAUGGAACCCAAAAUUUUCUUAGAUAUGGAAAUAUUGGUAGAGCCGUUCAAUUCAAAAUCAUGAUCAAAGCGGGGCUUGAUAGAUAGUGUGAUCCACUAAUGUGACGUAGUUUUGGUUAGAGCUUAUGAUUCACAACGCACAAAUAUUCUUUUUCUCGCUCUCAAAAAAAAUUGUGAUCAAGUAAUUAACAACUACAUCAAUCCAAACACUCUCUUAGCAUAAAUGGAAUCUAAAAUUUUCUUAGCUGAAAAUGUUAGUAGAGCUGCCAAUUCAAAAUCACCAUCAAAGUAGGGUUUGAUAGACAGUGUGACCCAUUGACGUGCCGUAGUUUUGGUUAGCGCUUGCGAUGCAUAACAUGUAAUUAUUCUCUUUCUUUCUCUCUCAAAAAAAAAAAAAUGUAAUUGAAUAAUAACCGCAUCAUUCCAAAUAUGCAGUGUAAACGGAACUCAAAAUUUUCUUAGCUGAAAAUAUUAGUAGAGCUGUCCAGUUCAAAAUCACGAUCAAAGCAGGGUACGAUCAAAGCAAGGUUUGAUAGACAGUGUGACCCAUUCACGUGGCGUAGCUUUGGCGUUUCUUGAUUGAAUUAAGAAAGCUACUUCUUAAUUGAGAUGUCCAGCCCAAAAUCAUUAUAAAAAAACAUAUACAAAGCACAAUAGUCAAGUGGGGUUGAUAGGGAGUGUGGCCCAUUAACUAAGGGGCGUUUGGAUGGACGAAUCUGUAAAUUAACGUAACUCAAGUGCAGUGGUGUUUGAGUUUUUCUGAAGUGUGAUUAUUCUUUUGUUGUUUAUUUUGACGAAACUCGUAUAAUUUGAAAGUUAAAUACAAUUACUUUUUUCUGUUUAUUUUAAUGUAACUUGAUGUUGGUGAAAUUAGUUUUUUUAGUUUUAUUGUUUGUUUUGAUGUAAAUAAGUGGAUCCCGUUAUCUUUUGAAUAUAGUGGUAAACAUACCGCUAUAAAAUUUAACCUAUUAAAUAAUUAAAAUUUUUAUUAUUAUUUAAAGGUAAUGCUAAUUUAUUAUAAAUAAGAUAAUUCUAAUCAUUAUAAAGGAAGUAGAGUUUAAGUUUUAUUAUUUAAUAAAUUUGUUAGAGAAGGUUGAGUGUGGCGGAAGUCAAGUUCGGCACUUUAGAGGGUUAAAGUGGAAAUCUAACGUAACUUGAGUUACACCAUAUUUUUGAUUUACACCAAAAUAAAUACCGAAAAUAAUGGAAUUUGAGUUCUACCCAUCCACUCACACCAAAACAAACGGCCUCUUAAAUGUGUUGCAUGUAGCGGCGUUGUGUCUAUUGUUUUUUUUUUUUUUUUUUGGAUGAACUCUAAAUUGCCAUCGUGUGGUAUUACAUAUUUUACUCCCUAUAUAUGGAUGAAGGUAGAAUUUGUGACGCUCUAUUUUUCAGAAGAGUCACCCAUUCUAGGAGUACUCUAUUUCUAGCACAUUUAACUUUAUUAAUUUUUUAGAUCUAUCCAUCAUCCAAAAUGCUAUAUCUUGAUUAAGAGGUUUAGGCAAAUUCUGAGAGUGUCACAUUUUUUUUCCUUUUAAGUCCUAACUUUUUUAUUUACGUCAUUCAUAAGUAGCUGACGAUGUGAGACUUAUCUCGCUAGCCUCAGCCGAGCUUGUGGAGAGUUGCGCUCUAUCCGCUAUAUGACCCUAGCUUAGACUCAUCUUACACUUCUAGUUGGUGAUUGGCUCUGACAUCAAUUGUGACGCUCCACUUUUCAGGGAGUUAUAUAUUCAUCAUAGAACUAUUUUAACCAUAUUACACUUAAUCUUUUUAAUCUCUUGGGCCUAAAUACUGUCCAAAAGAGUAUAGCCGGGCUAAGAGAUUUAACCACAUUAUAUCUUAUAUAUAGAACUAUUUUAAAUCUUAGAGGUGUCAUAGAAUUUUUUAGCGAAUAUCAUAAGAGAAAAUGUAAUAAAAACUUUUGUUGCAGCUAUCAUCACUUUAUUUAAUA